rnacentral:rRNA from 1 species
GACGAACGCUGGCGGCGUGCUUAACACAUGCAAGUCGAACGGAAAGGCCCUGCUUUUGUGGGGUGCUCGAGUGGCGAACGGGUGAGUAACACGUGAGUAACCUGCCCUUGACUUUGGGUUAACUUCAGGAAACUGGGGCUAAUACCGGAUAGGAGCUCCUGCUGCAUGGUGGGGGUUGGAAGGUUUCGGCGGUUGGGGAUGGACUCGCGGCUUAUCAGCUUGUUGGUGGGGUAGUGGCUUACCAAGGCUUUGACGGGUAGCCGGCCUGAGAGGGUGACCGGCCACAUUGGGACUGAGAUACGGCCCAGACUCCUACGGGAGGCAGCAGUGGGGAAUAUUGCACAAUGGGCGGAAGCCUGAUGCAGCAACGCCGCGUGCGGGAUGACGGCCUUCGGGUUGUAAACCGCUUUCGCCUGUGACGAAGCGUGAGUGACGGUAAUGGGUAAAGAAGCACCGGCUAACUACGUG